GGAACUAGGAUUCUUUCGUCCUGGAAACUCCACAUAUCAAUACGUGGGAAUAUGGUUCAAAAAGGUAUCCCAGCAAACUGUCACACGGGUAGCCAACCGAAGGAGGUAUUGCACGGUGUGCAAUUGCUUUAAUCCUAGCCAUUCAAUUGAUCUAAUGCUCAAGAAUUGGACAGCUCAAUUAGACACGUCAGAUCCGUGUGAGCUCUCAUUUUCCUCUGCCCUUUCAAUUUCUCCUCUCUCUCUCUUCUUCACGCUUGCCCCUAUUCAAAAAUUUCAGAAACUCUCUCUGACUCUCUCUUCCAACCGAACAUGCCUCAGAAUCUCUCUCUCUCAUGCCUAAAAAAAAAGCCACCAGUGAUGCUCCGGUUACCUCUCCACCGAAGAAUGAAUGUGAACCAACAGUGUUUCAGCUACCCACCCAAAUGUGAUUAGAUUUGGGCAUGCCAAAGAACAUUGUUAUUGGCUCUCACGUUUGGGUUGGAGAUCCAGAAUUAAUUUGGAUUGAUGGACAAAUAAUAAAUGUAAAUGGAGAGGAAGCUAAGAUUCAAACUGGUAAUGGGAAGACGAUACUGUUCAUUGGAUCACAUUCCAUACUUGGGAGGGCAGUUGUUGUGAAUGCUAAUCCUAAUAUGAUUUGGAAGCAUGAAAGGCCAUUGUUUUAAAGCUACGUGUAUCUCUAUUGGAUCUAGCUAACUUUUCCUUUUUGCUUGGAGAGGUGUGCGUGCAAAAGAAGACUCAAAAAAAAUUUGGAAACCAACUUUGGCAUAUUAACUACCGUUGAAAUGAAGAUACAAGUCCAGAGUACAAAACGCAAAAGAAGACUAAGUAAGAUUGAAGAAGAAACAAGGUCGUUUUGUGUAAAUGAGGACCUGAUGACACUUAGUGACACAACUGUGUUUUGCAAUCUCUUUAGUAAUUGUUUUAGUGAAACACUUAGACAAAUUAGUUCUAAUUUCUGUUAUGAAUUAAGUCCACGUGUUAGCUUGUAAUUAGUAGUUAGAUUAAAAUAGUUUUCCUGCCUAAUCAAGGAAGUUAGUUUUGCUUAUUUCUUUUCCAGAUUUUGUAUAUAAGGGAUUAGAUUUUUUUCUAUCUAUUCUCAGUUGCUUGUAAUCACUUUUACUCAUCAAUAAGAAAACUAAGUUCUAUUUAGUUUUCUUCAUCUUUAAAAGCUUUGAGU